rnacentral:lncRNA from 1 species
AUCAGGUGGCUAACAACUGACUUGGCCAGGUGCCUUGACAUAUGGGGUUGUUGUAUUUCUGUUCCUGGAAUCACUAAGCAAUGUUGUGCAAAUCACAGGGAAGCCAGUAAUAAAAUGUUGCCUUUGCACACAUGGAAGCUUGUGCACAUAUCCAUACUUCCCCUAGCCUGGCCAUGGUGUCCGAAGGCAUGUUCCACUGCCAGCCAGCCUCUGAAGUCCCCCAAUUCUAGGCUAAAGAUGUGCUCAGGGGGGACAUUGUGCUUCACCACAGCACAUCUCUGAGCCCUCAGCUAGGUGUUUAAUUAGAAGCGAGGAUGGAGCUCUUCACUCCACAGGGCUAGAGAUCUGGACCAGAAGCCACAAGGAGCCAGCAAGGAUUUUUUUUUUCCAUUUCAGAUGCAGCAGUGUGGAAUUCUCUCUGGAGGUCAUUUGUUUACUUCACAGUCUACAAGGUGAGAGUUGGAACUGGGUCUGUGUCCCCGUUACUGCAGCCCCAGAUCCUAGAAGAGUGCGUGGUGUCGGAGGCGUUCAGCAAAUGCUUGAUGACUCAAUGGAUAAGCAUGAGGAUGGAACAAGA